AGAACUGAGAAAGCAGCCACUCGAAUCAUUUUCUGUGUUCUGGGAUUUAGAGGAGGAACACUGGUUGAGAAAGGGAAUAUUUUUAAGGCUCUUGACACAUAUUGCAGAUGGCUUUUAAAAAUAAUUCCUUGAGUAAGUACUUCAGUACCAAGCAUUUGAUUCUUUGUAAUUCUUGGUAGUAUGGUUAUUAUUGUGAAAAAUAUAGGUUAUUUCUAUCAUCUGAAGUGUUUCUUCUUGGAGGGUGGGAUGUGGCUAGAAUACAGUAUGAUUGUGAAGUAAUAAGACUAAUUUUGACAUGUGGUUUGUGGAAUUGGUUUCAUUACUUAUAGUCACAUUUGAGGCUUUACAAUAUUUCUCACAGUAUCUACUACACUGCCUUGAAUGUAGUUCAAUGCAUGUUCUCUGAAGGAAUUUGUACAUCCAACCUGUAGAGUAAAAAGGAAUAAGAGAACACUUCGUAGGACCCUAAAAUGAAUUUUUAUAUUCAAUUUGUACAGAAGAAUGGUGAAAGAAUGGAGAAAAAAUGAAACUGAGAGACCCUAACUGUCCCAUUUCCAUCUCUCACACUUAUAAUAAAAUUCCUCUUUGAGUC
rnacentral:lncRNA from 10 species